rnacentral:rRNA from 1 species
UGGGGAAUGCUUAGACAAUGGGGGAAACCCUGAUCGUAGCCAUGCCGCGUGAGCGAUGAAGGCCUUAGGGUUGUAAAGCUCUUUCAGCUGGGAAGAUAAUGACGGUACCAGCAGAAGAAGCCCCGGCUAACUCCGUGCCAGCAGCCGCGGUAAUACGGAGGGGGCUAGCGUUGUUCGGAAUUACUGGGCGUAAAGCGCACGUAGGCGGAUUAGUCAGUCAGAGGUGAAAUCCCAGGGCUCAACCCUGGAACUGCCUUUGAUACUGCUAGUCUUGAGGUCGAGAGAGGUGAGUGGAAUUCCGAGUGUAGAGGUGAAAUUCGUAGAUAUUCGGAGGAACACCAGUGGCGAAGGCGGCUCACUGGCUCGAUACUGACGCUGAGGUGCGAAA